rnacentral:lncRNA from 1 species
GAUAAAUACUACCUCAUCUGAUCUCUCUUAUAUGCGGAAUCUAAAAACAAACCAGCAAACAAACAACCAAGCUUGCAGACGUAACACGCUGGUGGUUGCCAGAGGUGGGAGAAACAGAUGGAGGGGGUCAAAACAAAAAGAAGAAUAAAGCACUCGUGAUGACUUUGUCUCUCCCUUUCUGGUCCUGGCGACGUUACCAUCUUUCAUCUCUCCGGUGUGCAGGCCCUGCUCUCCAGAAUAGAGCUGAGACCGUGGACACACAUGGGCCCCAGCGCGGGAGAUGCAGAGCCGCUGUGCUGGCUGAUGGGGGAGAUGCACAGUGUCUGAGGACUCGGAACCCAGCCCAGUGUGCAGAGGUUGACCCGACAAGUGCAGCCAAAAAAUCGGUGUGAAAUUUCUGUUUUAGAAGAUGCAGCCCCUCUGCUUUAAAGGAAUCUAGUUUCUUCUGUAGGAAGGAGAAGAGUGAGGCUUGUCCCCUGGGAGUUAAGCGUUCUUCGGUGUCCAGGGACGGAAGCGAGACGAAGUGGAGGCAGAGGGAGGACAGAGCCCUCCCAUGGCACCAAACCCCAAACCUGCACCCCUAUGGAGGUCCUCAUUCUGGCCCCUGGUAAAAUUCACAUUAUAUAAAGUCCAUCAUUUGUCGACUCGUCCUGGGGUACCACUGUACCACUGUCUCUCCGCCCCAAACAGAAACCCCAUCCCUGCCAGCAGUUGCUCUGUUUCCUCUCCUCCCAGCCCUGGAAACCAGCAGGCUGCUUCUGAUCUCUGCUCUGAGCACAUGCAUAUGUACACUUGUUCUCAUGGCUCCUGAAUUACACCCAGAAGAGGAAUGGUGGGGCAUGAGAUCUCAGGCCCACGGGUGUACCUAUGGCUCCUAGAUGAGAUGUAAGACCAGGUUUGAAUACAAAUGAAGAUCUGCAAACCCAGACUGAGCUUUCAUCACCGAAACAAGAAAAAUAAACACA